AUGCCUGGGGCAGGUCAUAAGGAUAUCAAGGCAUUACAGAAUGCUACAUCUUAGAAAUAUACACACCUUCUCUCUUUUCCUCUGAUUUUCUAGACACUUGCAAAAUAGAACAAAAACUAUCUCUGAUAAAAGGAACAGCCCAUUAUUCUACCUAAUUGGCUUUUCAGUUAAAUUUACAGGAAAAAAAAAAAGGCUAGCCCGAAGUUCAAUGGUACCAUCAUUUUCCUUAUGGUUGCUUCAUUUUGAGCACGUCUCAGUACAAUGUAGAUUUUAUUAUAUUGAAGACUGGAAUUGUCCAAUCCUUAUUGCAUGGAACUGCAUACCAGGAUUUCUACUGUAUUUGAAGGCUGGUGGAAAAGGAAAAGAAUGGCUUCUGAUGGGAGAAACCAGAACCUAGCACGUCCUCUUCGAGCAGCAGAGCACUUACAGGAAGGGGCUGUCCUUUGUGACCAUGUAGCCCAUAUACACUAUAACAUCUUUUUCCUGUCAACAAACAGAAGAAAAACAUUGAAUUCUCAAAUGUGAUGAAACACUAGAAGGGAGAAACAGACAGAAGAAAAUAAAAUGUCAGGUGGAAGAAGAGACCAGUGAAAUGCAGCUGAAUUUCUGUGCAUUUAAGCAGCACAAACUGGGACUUAUGCAGCAACGUGACAAAAAUGUCAAUUAUGACCAUAUCACUGCUAAGUACCGAAGAGGAAAGACCUGCUCAUCUCUGAUGUUUCUUGAUAUAUUACAGUAUAUUGCAUGUAUAGUGUUUUGAUUUCAAUUGUUUUCUAGGUUGAAUUUAGGCAAUGUAGUAAUUGCAAAUAUACUGAAAGGAAAGAAAGAAAAAUAUUUCUAUAUACUUUCAGACCUAUCUGGCUAUCCACAUCUCCUUUGAGAAUGGAAUGCAGUUAGAACAUGUCACUUGUGUUUUCAGUACUCCAUUUUUGGUGGAGUUUCUUGGUGUAUAUCACAUCAGAUGAUGAUACAAUAUGCGCAAAUUACCAUAUUUUAAAAUAUUGGUUUGGACUUGAUCCUCUUUUUGACAAUAUUGAUCUUAAUUACAUUUUCUUUGACUUCAUUCUGUUUUAAUCUCUUCUUUGCCUAGUAGUUAUAUUUAGUCAUAUUAAGUCACUAAGAGAGCCUUCCUUUAAACUUUGCGUCUUGGAGAUUGGUGUAGGAGAGCAUGAUGACAGAAUUCAGGCCAUUAAAAUUGUUUUUGUUGCUUUUCUUGUGACAGCUCUUCAACAAAAUUUUGAGAGAAUCAGUGUAUUUGCGGAAAAAAAACAAAGCUGAAAAACAGACUAUUUUUUUUUUCCUGUAGACUUUUUUCCAGAAUGUGUUUACUAUGUUGGCUUCCAGAAAUACAUUAAAUAGGAAAAAAAUGUUUAAGUGCUAAGAAUUGCACUGUAUCUAUGUGAUAUGCAUUAGAUUGAAUUAAGAUGGUAGCAAUAGAUUAUGGUUAUUUUUCUGUAGUUAAUUGCUUACAUCAUAUUAAUAUAUUAGAUUCAGUUCCAAUAAAUUCACCUUUCUUGUUUUCCUAAAUGUGCUACUACUUCUGAAAUAAGUCAAAAAUGAAUAUUAUUUUUACAGAGAUAUGGUGAAAUCUGACAUUGAGCACAUUCAGGAAAGAGUAUUCUUGGAAAAAAAAAAAAGCAUAAUCUUGCAAAGGUCUUGCUAACAUGAGUUUGUUAAACACAAUGUUGAUUACAUUUACAGUUUCUCAGAGAGAACUUUAAUUUAGAAAUUUAGGAGAUUGAUUAUUAGGAAAUUGAUUCAUUACAUUUCUCCUUCACAGAAAACCUUUCCAAAUUUAAAUCUCCUUGCCACAAAAUGAGUCAUAUCAAAUUUGUAGUUGAUCAACAUACUGUUGCAUCAUCGGUAAUUCUCUAAGGAGAAAAUGUGUUUCUGCAGGAAGUCCGUACAGAUGUUAGAAGUUACAAAAGGAGUUAGCAAAACUGAGAAGAUGUAAUACAGUGUUUUUCUUAUAUCUUUGAAUAAAUGAACAAACAAAACCAAAUGAAAGAGAUCUUCUACGUACAGUAGCUGAUUAAAACAUUAAAAAAAAAAACCCUGCAAACCAACCAACUAAAAAAAAAACCCACAAAAACUCAUCAUUGUACAAUCCAAUUAAUCAGCAAAAUGAUCAUUGACAACUAAAUUGUCUCGAGCUCUCUUGGGCCUCUGCAGCUUAAGUAACAUAUUUCAUAAUCCAUCAAGCCACUGCUCUGUCUGUGGCAUCCUCUUUGGAUUGUUCUAUUAUUCAUAGUAAAAUACAGGAAAAAAGAUAUUGGUUGACUAUUAAUAAUCUGUUUCUUUAGAGAGGAGGUCUUCCUACUUAUUAAUGAGUACCCCCUUGGCACAUCUCUUGAAGUAUACUCUUGAUCUGGGGGGAAAAAUUAAAAACUUCACUGAAGUUCCUGACUUCUAUGCUGCAUUGUGGUAUUCAACUCUUUAAACUUAAUUUGUACAAUAAAAGCAAGUGUUUCAUUUCAGGAGGCUAAAAAUGCAUCACUUUAUUUGUAAUGAACGCAUGUUUGGAUGUGGGCUCAGAAUUAACUACUCAUGCUUAUUCUUCAUAGUUUGUGUCUUUGCAUUAGGAAACCCAAACUCAGGAGACUUCUGGCCAAGAGUGUGGUCUCAAGCAGAAGAGGUUGUCAUGGACUGUAUCCUAUACUGUUUGCUUUUUGUCAUCACUCAGGGCAGGUCAAUUUUCUAGAUACUGGGUGAAAAGUCAUAGAUAAAGCAUCAGACAUACAGGAUACAAAUGGAAGUAAAAAAUGGAAAUAAGACAUGUUAGCAAGCAAACAAUUUUCAAAAACACAAAAUGACUUCAAAAGCCUUGAAAAUCAACAGCUAAUGAGUAGCUGUUAAGGACAGUGGUGCGGAUGCAACCUGCGAUUUGAAAGAUGUAAUCUACGUACAGUUAGUGACAGGCAUUGUAUGCUUCCCUUAGAUGUCCUCAACUAUGGAGAUGCGCAACAUACUAGGCAGACUAACAUUCUGA